rnacentral:rRNA from 1 species
CAAUCCUUAUGGUUUUUAUAUCCGGUUAGAAUAAUAAGAAAGAAUCAAAGUCCAGGUUGGUUGGUGAGCCUAGUGAUAGGAGACUAUCUAGCUUGGUUCGGAGAGCACUUGUUGGGUUUCAGAUUCAUUUUUUGCUAA